rnacentral:rRNA from 1 species
AUCAAUAAGCGGAGGAAAAGAAAAUAACAAUGAUUCCCUCAGUAACGGCGAGUGAACAGGGAAGAGCUCAAAGUUGGAACCUGGCAGGCCUAGCUUGUCCGGAUUGUAAACUAAAGUUUUUGGGUCGUUUAGUCUGCCUGGUAAAUAAGUCCUCUGGAAAGGGGCGACAUAGAGGGUGAAAUCCCCGUCUUUGGCCAGAGUAUGAUUAGGCGUUUGGCCUAGAAAUGAAGAGUCAGGUUGUUUGGGAAUGCAGCCUAAAGUGGGAGGUAAAUCUCUCCUAAAGCUAAAUAUUGACGAAAGACCGAUAGCGAACAAGUACCGUGAGGGAAAGAUGAAAAGCACUUUGAAAAGAGAGUUAAAAAGUACGUGAAAUUGCUGAAAGGGAACCGUAUAGAAUCAGAACUGCUGRUGGGUAAUCAACCAUUCCUUUGGGAAGGGUGCACUUGCCUAYYAUUGCAAGCCAGCAAUAUUUUGGUUGGGGGGAAAAAAGUGGAGUGAAAUGUAGCUUGCGUUUCGGCGUAGGUGUUAUAGUCCUCUACAAAAUACUCUUGACUGGAAUAAGGAACGCAGCAAACCUUAGGGCGAGGAUUCGGGGUGCUUGGGGGGUAAUAGUAAAGAAUUUCUGCUUCGGGUGGUGCUUUAUUACUAUCAUCUAACUCGCUUCGACAUCUUUCAUUUUGCUUAGGUUGUUGGCAUAAUGAUUUUAUAUGAC